ACACCAAAGGCAAGUUGCGCCUGGCAUCGGCAUCAGCCGGAGGGAGGCCGUCGGGAAUGGUUUCGAAUCGAAACGAAGGGAGGCCGUCGAGAGCGUGGGAACCUUGGGAUUCAAGCAUGCGCUUGUGGUUGAACUCUGUGUUCACAAAGGUUAUGUGGAAGCCUUUGUAGUUGAGGAGCUUGGCUAAUUGCAGCAUAGGGUUUAUGUGACCCUGAGCUGGGAAGGGUACAAAAACUGCAUGUGGCUUCUCUUUGGAGGCAACUGGACUCAUUUUCUCUGUAUGAUAUCCUAGACAAAAGAGCUGAAGGGAAAUGGAGAUGAUGGGAUGCUAAGAGAAGUGUAAGAACUUGCAGUUUUAUAGUGGUGAAGGGUCAAGGGCUGCACUGUGCGGGCAAGUGCUUCUUGACCGUUGAUGCAUUUUUCGGAUUCUCUAUCUGUUUUUUUAAGAUAAAUUGAGUGCCAGUCAUUCCUCGUGGUAUGAUUAUUAUAAUCUCAGAGAUCGACCUUUCCAAAUGAGUCCAAGGCCACGGUGUCCAGAACAAAUGCUCGCACAACUACUGCCUGAUUAGUGUGUUAGAUUGGAGACAUUGUCGCAUGGCAAGUGUGAAAUGUGUGAAAUGUAUGUAGACUUCAAAACGCACACAAGGUUCAGUCAUAAUCAGAAGAGAAAUGCUGGCCGGCAACUUUCAUAAUUUCAUGGGCCAUACUCUUUUAAAUAAAGAUGUAGAAAGUCUUUAAAAAAAGGAGAAGUUUUAGAGAAUAAAUUACAUUGGGAAAAAGAAAAAGAAGUUUCACACUUUCAUUUUUUUCACUUACACUCGUGCAAAGAUAACUAGUCUUAAAUGAUUAUUCAGUAAUUUAUAAAAUAAAAUAAAAUAACAAACUAUGCUCCUGUGUAUAAGGUUGCAUUUUAUGAAGAACAAACAUUAUUUGUCACCAUCAAUUAUGGAUGUUAUUACUUUUUGGUUUAGUUUAAUAUUGAAAAGAGGGAAUAAAUACAUGACCUUGGUUAUAACUUAUAGGGACAAAUAUUCUAAGUCACUUCAGCCCCUUAUAAAAUUUCAAAUUUGACUAAACCAUAUCAUUUUUCAUCUUGACUACCCUACAAUCUCAUUAAAUCUUUCUUUUUCCAUUUGCCUAUGCUAGUCACCAGUCAUUAGAAAAUCCUUGUGGCUGGAUGUCGAAGAGUCUAUGCCAAUGCCCAUUAGUUAUUCCAUUUGAAAGAACAUGUGCUUUGUUUUAUGCAUUUACUUUUUAUUUUAUUUUAUACAAGCGAUAUUGAGGGGAGAGAAAUCGAACUUAGGACCUCGGGUGUAAGUGUAUUUGUUCUUAAUCACUUGAGCUACAAACAGGGGCAGAGCCAUUAAAGGAUUAGUGUGGUCCCAUGCCCCCACUCCAUCUUUUAUUCAUUGUAUUAUAAUAUUAUGUAUGAUGUAUAAUAUUUAACAUAUUAGACUAGUUUUAGGAGAUAUUUAUCCUAAAAUAAAUAGUAUAUUUUUUGUAUUUUUUGUCUACAACAAUAAAACUUCUUAAUCACUUUUUUAUUUCUCUCUUUUACCUUCUAGAUUAGUUUAUGAUAUUUACACUAAAAACUCCUACAUUUUUAACCUUUCUUUCUCUUUUUCUUUUGUGUAAGUUAAACUUUGUGAAUUUUUAUUUCCCUCUCUUUUUUCAUAGAUUUUAUGAACCCCUUUUGUAUUUAUUCUCUAUGUUGGAAUAUAAAUUAUUAAUUUGUGAGUUUAUAAUAUUUUAGAUGAUGAGAUUAGUACUUAACCAUUAUAAAAUAUGAAAUUGCGGACAAUUAUGAUUGUAAUGAAUGGAUAUAUUAAUCAAUAUAAAAUGAUGUUAUGAAGUAGGCCAAAAGGAGUAGUUUAAUUAGUGUCAUAUUAAUUUAGCAUAUUCUUAAUAAACUUGUGAAUGAGAAUGACUCCCUUUAAUUUGAAAUCCUGAUUCUGCCAUUGACUACAAGUCCCUUGCACAUUUACCUUUUUCAUUUAAGUCUGAAGAAUGCCUUGUAAAAAUGUAAAACGAAAACUAUUAUUGACACUGCAAAGAAAACAUCAUACAUUAAUUCAUUCAAUUGUAAUUUCUCUUAUGAUUUUAUAAUUUUUUAGAAUUCCAAUAACAGCUCUGGAUAAAAUUCAUUAGAAAGAAGAAUUGAAGUAUGUUCAAACAGAUUUCAAAAUAGACUAAACAAUUUAUCAGUAACAACUUUUGUCAGCUUAAUUCCAUUUGUGUGUCAAUUUCGUCCUUAUUAUCAUAAAUUCUGUUAUCAGUAAACAAUCCCCAUAUCAAACAGAGUGUUCAGUUAAGGACAGUGACAAUCGAGCAAUAUUGCCUGACGAAACACCAAACCAGAACUUAAAAUCACGAUAAAAAGGAAAAGAAAGACGUGCUGUCUUCAAUGAGAAAACCAACUUCAGAUCUAUUCUCACACCAAGUGAAAACAUAAGGACAAGAUUGAUGAAAUCGAUGACACAUUAACACUACAACACUGGGCGAAACUCGAGUUUCAUUGUGUUGAAAUGAGUGAUACGAGUGUGCCUUAAUCUAAGAAACAUUGCACACCGCCCAAAAAAAUACUCAAUAAUUGUAUUUUGGUCAAACAAAAAAGAUGAGCAAAUUACAAAAAAAGUAAAAAUAAAAAUAAUCAGGGAAUUCAGAAGAUGUUAUAAAGUAAUAAGCGAAGCCCAUAUAAAGAAAGUAAAAGGAUAUUAGUCAAAAGAUGAAAUUAUGAUGUUGCGUAAAAGUAUCAUUAUGUCUCCUUUAGAUGCCAUUUGCUUUGCCUAUAAAUAGGCAUCAUUUUACUUGUAAAGAUACAUGAAUGGAGAAAAGAAGAGAAAGAAGAGAAAGUGAGAGGAAAUAAGAGAGAGUGAGAAAUCUGAGUGUGUGAGUUCUGUCUAAGAAGAAAUUCUAUCAGUGUAAACAUCAUAAAGAGCAAAUAUAAUUUCACUCCCAAUAUUCAGUGGUACUUCUCAUACUCUUUAAUUUCUUUAGUUUUAUAACACGUUAUCAGCACAAUAGUCUCUCCUUUUUAUUUCUAAAUUUGUCCCAGUGUGCUCAACACUAUGUGGUUAUUUCUCUGUCUCCUCUCUGUCAUAUGUCUCAUCUCACUUUACUACUACGACGACAUGCAAACUUUCUUUUUUGUGUUCUCACAAUUUUUAUGUUGUUUCAUCCAUGCUUGUUUAAUUUACUUCUUUGUAACGUAAUUUGGAAUGAUGCCGUUUUAUACCCCAUCAUGUUGUUUUAUGGUGGUGUAAUUUUUAUUACCCAUCACGUUGUAACACAAAUUAUCAUAAUAAAAUGAUGGUGUGAUCUUAAAACCCAUAUAUUAUAUUUUGAAUAGUGGCGCAGUUAUAUUGCCUGCAAUAUAUAAUAUGUUAUAUACUUUAUAUAUUUUAGGUGGUGGUUUUUGUCUCCACAUUUACUUUAACAAAAUGGACGGUUUUCACCUCCUAUAUUUUUCAGUGGUGGUUUUAUCCCCACAUUUAUUUUAUUUAUGGUAUAGAGUAGGUUUAUUACUCAUACGGCAAUAUUUAUUUAAAAAUGUGGCACGGGUUUAUCGUCCACACAGCUGCCUUUAUUUUUAUUUAAAAGUAUGGAGCAGAAUUAGUCCCCCUGCAAGCACAUUUGCUUUAUUAUUGUAUGGUGUGGAAUUAACCUCCAUACAACAAGCAAUUUACUUUAUGAAUUUACUUUACUGCACAUUUUCUUUCAUUUAAGGUAUAGUGCGAAUUUAUCGUCCAUACCAGCAAAUUUAUGGCACUUUAUUUUUAUCAUCAAUUAAUAUACCUGAAUAAUGAGGGCCUGAAGUUCCUAUUAAUAAGUGGCUUAAUGUCCCAGAUCCCAAGCCUAAAGUUUCGGAUGGCAAAUUUGGCAAAACUGAAGUUUACUGCCUUGGACAUUUCUGGAGACAACUAUUUAUCAUGGCUUUUGGUUGCCAAAAUCCAUCUACGUGCCAAUGGCCUCGUACAAACAAUUUUAUAUGGGAAUGAUGAUUUGCCUGAAGAAAAUGCGAAGGCCAUGAUCUUUCUUCGUCACCACAUCCAUGAAGCGCUGAAAAGCGAAUAUGUGGUGGUUGAUGAACCGUUGGUUCUAUGGAAAGCUUUAGGUGAAAGAUACGAUCACUAGAAGAUGGUGACCUUCCCAAGAGCUAGAUAUGAAUGGACCUACUUGAGAUUUCAAGAUUUCAAGACAGUGUCCGAGUACAACUUUGCUAUGCACAGAAUUACCUCAUUGAUGAGGCUAUGUGGUGAAAAUAUAUCUGAGGAGGAUAUGCUCGAAAAAAACUUUGAGCACUUUUCAUGCUUCAAAUGUCCUCCUGUAGCAGCAAUACAGACAUAGCGGUUUCAAGAAGUACUCGGAACUUGUAUCUUGCCUCUUGUUAGUUGAGCAGAAUAAUGAACUCUUAUUAAAGAAUCACCAAUCUUACCCAACGGGCUCAGCACCACUUCUUGAAGUAAAUGUUGCAUCUCAAGAAGUGAAUGUCACCUCAUCCCGUGGCAAUAUCCACAGACGUGGACAAAAAGGCAAGCGUGGCUGCUGGCAAAGAAGCAAAAAAGAUCGUGGUGCUCGUUCAGAUGGUUUAGGUUCAAUGAGCAAUCAUCCACGAAUGGCAAAAAUGCAUCCCGUAAUAAGGGGAAGGCACGGACGAGCCAUGUGCCUAGAAAUGUGGGAAGUACUUGUCACAGAUGUGGUGCAAAGGGACAUUAGGCGCGUGAAUGUCAUACGCCCAAGUAUUUGGCAAGCUCCAAAAGAGUCAAGAAAUUAAAGUCAGACAAAUCCGCUCAAACGAUAACCUGGCAGAUCUCUUCACCAAAUUAUUGCCAAAAUGUACAUUUCAAAAGUUAGUGCAUGGCAUCGGAUUACGAUAACUCUUCAAGCAAUCAAAUUGAAACAUGCAAAAUUAGGGGGAGCAUUCAAGAGUCCACUAACACAGGACAUAUGAGCGUUGUACUCUUUUUCCUUCGACUAGGGUUUUUCCUAGCAAGGUUUUAACGAGGCAACAUGAGCGCAUUUAACAUUACCCUUAUGUCCUAAAUAAAGUUGUACUCUUUUUCCUUCAUUUAUGUUUUUUCCCACUGGAUUUUUUCAAGUAAGUUUUUAAUGAGGCAACCAAUCUAGGGACAUGUAGUCUCCAAGGGGGAGUGUUAUAAAGUAAGAAGUGAAGCCCACAUGAAGAAAGUAAGGAGGUAUUAGUCAAAAGAUGAAAUUAUGAUGUUGGGUAGAAGUAUCAUUAUGUCUCCCUUAGAUGCCAUUUGCUUUGCCUAUAAAUAGGCAUCAUUUUACUUGUAAAGAUACAAUAAUGGAGAAGAGAAGAGAGAGAAGAGAAAGUGAGAGCAAAGAAGAGAGAGUGAGAAAUCUGAGUAUUUGAGUUCUGUUUGAGAAGAAAUUUUGUCAGUGUAAACACCAUAAAGAGAAAAUAUAAUUCCACUCUCAAUAUUCAGUGGUACUUCUCAUACUCUUUGAUUUCUUUAGUUUUAUAACAGUAGACAAAUUCUUCAGCUACACCACCCAAGAAUUUUUCCUGGAAAUAGAGUUUUGAAAGUGGUACCAAGGACAAGUUCAUGUGACAAAAUUAAUACAUUCUAAUUUUUGGAAGAUAGAAGCACCUUGUUAACCAUUUGUUCCAAAUCCAAAAAGGAUGAUCCAUAUGGACCAGUAGUAGCCUCCUCUGCCAACUUCUUCCAUUCCAAGGCUUUCUUCCUCAUCUUUUUGCCCUCCUCUCCCUCCAUCAACUUUCUCACCAGCUCCUCCACAUAAUUUCUUUUCACAUCAUCCCCUACCUCCAACCCUACGCCCCAUUCUCUGCAGCUGUACCUACAAUUGGUUGGCUGCUCUCCACAGAAGGACCAACAGAUCAGAGGCACACCACCGCACAAACUUUCCAGUGUAGAGUUCCAUCCACUGUGCGUCAAGAACCCUCCCACCGCUGGGUGGCUCAGGACUUGUUCUUGAGGGCACCAAUGAGCCAAUAGAGACCUGUCUUUCGUCUCUUCCAAAAACUCUGCUGGAACCACAGCUGAUUCUCCCCUAACAAGGUCUGGCCUAAUCACCCAUAGAAAUUUUUUUUUGCUAUUUGCAAGUCCCCAAGCAAACUCAAUCAGCUGCUCAUUUGUGGUGACUGCAAUGCUUCCAAAGUUGACAUAAACCACAGAGUUGGGUUCUUUGGUGUCUAGCCAUUGAAGACACUCUGGCUCCUCUGUCCAUAGGUUUGAAACAAUCGACUUCAACUCGUUCUCUGCUGGGAUCUGUUUGAGUUGUAGGUUUAGGGGUCCAAUGGAGUAAACAGGUGGAAGCAAAGUUGAAAGUGAGUCUAUGACUUCAUGUUCCAAGUCAUGAAAUGUGUUCAGAAUGACGGCGGAAGCUUUCUUAGUUCUCUCUGUUUCACCCACCAGAAAAUUCAGCAUGAUAUCAUCUGGCUCUGUGGUUCUCAUGAAGGUUGGCAAGUCCUUCAAACGGAUGUUCCUCAUGCCUGGUACCCAAUCUAGCACAGUAUUUAAAUGCCCGUUUGUAAAAUAACUGGCAUCUGCAAAAUCAGAUUAACAAAGUCUGUUAUGUUUUGUUCAGAGGGAAAAACGGCAGUUUACUCUUAAUCAGACAAUUGAUUGAUUGAUUAAUACCUUCAAAAGGAGUGAGACCUUUUUCUAUGAGUUGAUGAAACUGAACGUAGCCCAUGAAACCACAAGCACUAGGUGUCCAGAAAAAAACUGCGGGAACACCAAGUUCCUGAGCUGCAUCAAGAGUGAAACUCAUAACACCAUCAGUGAUUAAGCAAGUGACACGUGGGGAAUCAGGCGAAGAAUUGAGCUUGGAGAGAAGGUCUCUGAAGUGAGGCAAGGAGUGUUUGCUAGUGGAAUCACAUAAGGAUGGUAUGUCUUGGGUGGCAUCGGCAUCGGUUGGAGGAAGGCCAUCGGAAAUGGUCUCGAAUCGAAACGUGGGGAGGCCGUUAAGAGCGUCGGGACCUCGAGAUUUAAGGAGGCGUUUGUGGUUGUACUCUGUGUUCACAAAGGUUAUGUGGAAGCCUUUGUAGUGGAGGAGUUUGGCUAAUUGCAUGAGAGGGUUUAUGUGACCUUGAGAUGGGAAUGGCACGAAGACUGCAUGUGACUUCUUUGAGGUCAAGGCAAUUGAACUCAUCCUCUCUCCCGUCUCUCCCAAAUCAAACACAAACCAGGAAAAUGGGAUGCUAAUCAAUGACAGAGUACGUACCUGGGAGUUUUAAAGUGGUAAAAAGGUCAAUGAGCUGUGCUACCAAGCGAAUAAGGAAUUCCCGGCCAUUAAUAAUGCACGUAGAACUCACCGUCCCACAUUAUAUAAAAAAUCCACGUGUGUGUAUAUGUGCGGUUUUUUUUGGGUCUAAGAUGCCUGAUAGAUAAGCGUGCUCCUCAGUCUAAGGAUGUGUGAACUGUGUGAGAGCACAUGUUGUGAACUGUGCGAGAGCACAUGCCCACGCAGUAAGGCAUAUAGUACAAAAUGUUCAGAAAAAAAAUAAAAAAAUACUUGCCUGCACCCUUCUACAUCUCUUAAUCAUGUGCCGUAUUUAUUUAUUUUCUUACAAACUGUACUUAUCAUAGUUUGCUGGCCGGUAGUUAUCAUAAUUCCUUUGAAAAGUUAUCUAAAUAUAUUUAUGUAAUUAUAUAUAUUUGUAAUUUAAUAUGAGGUGAAAUUGAAAAGACAUUGGCACACAAGAUAAAAAUAUUUAAAUUUGUCAUUCUCAGUCUAAAUAAAUAUAUAUUAACUGGUGUUAGGUAAUUUAAAAAGUUAUCAGGCAUUUAGCAAUAAUUUAUUUCAAUUAUUAUGUUGGAAAUUGAAAUUUGUUGAGGUAAAAUGUUCAUAAAAAAUAAAAAUAUAACAAAAAAUUUAUUCACAAAUAACUUUAGCACAUAGUCCAAUUAUUGGAGCUAAUUGCCUCACCUCUUCUAUCCAAAAGUAUCAGAUCUCCACAUGAAUAUGAUUUUAUUUAUUGCCUUAACCAUCAACCAAUUUGGGUCCUACAAAAGAUGAAUGCACAUGAGCAUUUCUUGGAGGUUCGGCAUAUUCUUAUAUGGAUUUGUUUAUAUUUUAUAUUUGUUGAUGGAACAAGAAUCAGUACUAUUUUAUAUGGAUUUGUUUAUAAAAAUUCGCUCCUAUUCAGUAUUUGUAGUUCUGGGACGUAUGCUCCACCAACAUAUAUGAAUUUUUUGACAAAAGUAUCAGUACUAUCGUAAAGUGGAUCAAGUUUAACAUUAAAUUUUAAGCCAACAUUAUGUGUCUUUUUUUUUUGGAUAGGACACCAACAUUAUGAGUUGACGCUGAGUUUAUUAGCAACUUUCUUUUGAGGCAUUUCUCUACUCUUUGUGGCUCGACAAAAAAGAUAGGCUCUACGAGAUUGCAUCGCAAAAAUGCUUUCUUACUUUGUCUUGUUACGUGACGUGACUACACGAACUCUUUACCUUUAUGUAAAAGAAGGAAACAAACAAGUGAAAGUAACUCGUUCUUCCCUUCACGUCACAUUCAUGCAUGGCCCAAAGGAUGGAUAGUUUCAAGAAUUGGGAAAUCUGAAGGGAAUUGAAAGCAAGCCUCAGUAAGUGGUUCCAUGCAAGGUCUAAAAUAUCGGGGAUAUUGAAAAUAUUCGUAGUUUAAAAAUAUAAAAAUUUUGAUGAAAAUAUCGAAAUAUUAUCGAUAUCGAUAAAAAUUGAAUAAAAAUAACAAAAAUUGUAAGAAAAACUUGGAAAUUUUUAUUGAAACUUUGGAGGAUGCUUAUUUAGUCAAUUAUCUAUUAGUUUAUCACAAAAGAAUUGGAAGAAAAUGCAUUGUAUGAUGAAUUUAACUAAUUUAAGUUGAUUAUAUAGCGAGCUGAGAAACACUGUGAGUGUAGAAAAUAUGUAGUAAUUAAUGAAAUAUGAUUAAACACACCACAAUCAUUUAUAUAUAAUGAUUUACUACAAUAUUUUACAUUUUAUACAUUGCAUGGUAAGAUACAUAAGUGACUUGGUACCACAUAGAAUUCCUAUGAGAUUCAAAUUUUUCACUAUCUUCAUCAUCUCUAUGUGUAGAGUAAGUGAAGAGUAGUCAUCAAAUGAUAAAUCCUCAAAAUAGUUUUGCAUGUAAUUGUUAACAUGUCACCCAUAUGGAUCCGAGAUUGGUUGACGUUGUCCAUGAGCAAAAUUAUUUGAAGAUUGAGUCUCAGAUUCUUUCCAUGAGCUGCUCAAUUCCUUCCCAAAAGGAAUGGGAUAUGAAGGGUAGAGAAAUGGUUGGAAAUGUAAGGUCCAUCAUUCUUUGCUUGUCCAUGUCUUAAUAUUCAGAAGAAAAAAGAACUUACCACUUGGACGCCACAAUACAAAGCAAACCAAAGAUGACUAAUUUUACAAGAGGAAACACCUUGAAUCCCCUUUGUGUUUUUUUUCCUUUUUUUUUUCGCUUAUUUUUUUCAUUACAUUGAUAUUUUCGAUAUUAUAGCGAUAUUGUAUCAAAAUAUUGCUGAAGUGAGAGCAAAAUUAUCGACAUCGAUAUUUUCCGAUAUUAUCAUCGAUAUUCUCGAUAUUUAUACGAUAUGUGCAUAGAUACGUUUCGAAAUAUCCGUGAUUCGAAAAAAUGAUAAUAUCCUCGAUAUUUCGUCGAUAUUAUCGAUAUUUUAGACUAUAGUUCCAUGGAGGGGCCAAUUUCAAUUAGGGGUGGACAUUCAAACAAGAAAACUAGUUAAAUUUCUAAACCUAUAACUUUGCGUAUCAAUAUAGACACGAAAUUUUAUAGUAAUGGUGCUAUAUAUAUAAACCAAUUGUAAUUUUAUUAUGUAGUUUUUAUUGGUAAAAUUGGAUCUUAGGAUAGCCCAAAAACGUUGGGCCUAUUUAGCAAACCAUUGGGUUCCAAUAGAAUUUUUGUUUAUUAAUUUGCAUGUACCCAAUAAAAAAUAAGAGCAAAUUACAAACAAAAACUUCAAGGAACCCAACACCCAAGCGUUGUUCUGUAUCAAUGAGCUACCAAGAACAAAAAAAAUUAACACAAUUGCUCCAUUCUAAUUUCUGGGAGAUAGAAGCACCUUGUUAACCAUUUGAUCCAAAUCCAAAAAGGAUGAUCCAUUAGAACCAGUAGUAGCCUCCUUUGCCAACUUCUUCCAUUCCAAGGCUUUCUUCCUCAAUUUUUUGCCCUCCCCUCCUUCCAUCAACUCUCUCACAAGGCCCUCUAUGUAAUAUCUUUUAACGUCACCCUCUAUCUCCAACCCUAUGCCCCAUUCACUGCAACAAAACCUGCAAUUGGUUUGUUGGUCAGCAUUGAAAGGCCAACAGAUCAUGGGCACCCCACCUCCCACACUUUCAAUAGUAGAGUUCCAUCCACAGUGUGUCAAGAACCCUCCGAUAGCUGGGUGUAUCAAGACUUGUUCUUGAGGGCACCAACUUGCCAAUAGACCCCUUUCCUUGGUCUCUUCCACAAACUCUGGUGCAACCACAACUGAUUUCCCCUCACAAACAAGAUCAGGUCUAAUGACCCAAAAAAAGGCCUUGUUGCUAUUUGCAAGCCCCCAAGCAAACUCAGUUAGCUGCUCAGAUGUCAUGACUGUGCUGCUUCCAAAAUUGACAUAAACCACAGAAUUGGGUUCUUUAGAGUCAAGCCAUUGAAGACACUCUGUUUCCUCUGUCCACAGGUUUGAUCCAAUGGACUUCAAUUCGUUAUCUGCUGGGAUAUGAUCAAGUUGUAGAUAGAGGGGUCCAAUGCAGUAAAUAGGUGGUAGCAAAGUCGAAAGUGCAUCUAAAACUUCAUGCUCUAAGGCAUCAAACGUGUUCAAAAUGAUGGCAGAAGCUCUUUUAGCUCGUUCUGUAUCAACCAUAAUGAAAUCCAGAAUCGGGUCAUUUGGGUCUGUUGUUCUAAUGAAGCUUGGGAUGUCCUUCAAUCGGAUACUUUUCAUUCCAGGUAUCCAAUCUAUCACAGUAUCUAAAUACCCAUUUGUCAAGUAUCUGGCAUCUGCAAAUCAAAUUAAGAAAAAAAAAACUAGUGAGUUGAUUGAUAAAAUUCUAUGUGAAACAUCAAGUACAAGUUUUUCUUUUUCAAAAUUAAAAACAGAAACAAUUAGCAGUUGGGUUUUUAUCUGCAUAAUCAUUUUUGAUUAAUUGUUACCUUUAAGAGGAACUAAACCCUUUUGAAUGAGAGGUCCAUACUGAAUGUAGCCCAUGAAGGCACAAGCACUAGUUGUCCAAAAAAUAACACCCGGAAUUCCGAGUUCUUGGGCUGCAUCGAGACUGAAGUUCAUGAUGCCAUCAGAAACUAGACAAGUAACCGGAGGCGAAUUCGGCGAAGAUUUGAGCUUCGAAAGAAGGCCUCUGAAGGGUUGUAAGCAGUGUUUCCUAAUGGAUUGGCAGAGGGACGGCAUAUGUUGGGCAGCAACAUUAGCAUCAGCUGGAGGCAGGCCAUCGGGGAUCAUUUUGAAACGAAAAGUAGGGAGGCCAUUGAGAGAGUUGGGGCCUUGGGAUUUAAGUAGGCGUUUGUGGAUAAACUCAGUGUUGACAAAGGUUAUAUGGAAGCCUUUGAAGUGGAGGAGUUUGGCUAGUUUUAGCAUUGGGUUUAUGUGGCCUUGAGCUGGGAAUGGCAUGCAUACUGCAUGUGGCUUCUCUGAGGUCAAGGCAUUGAAAAAAGCCAUUAACAGAUUUGCCUACUUAGGCCAACAGAGCAAAUUUAUGAUGACUAGAAAAGAUAAAAUUGAGUUCAAGCAGUGGGGGAGAGUGAGAAAUGGAUUAUGGCUACAAUAAUAGGUUAAGAGUUUGAUUCCACUCAAGGAAAAUAACAAAAAUCUGGUCUCAUGAUUGGCUCAUGUGGUGCCCUUUGAGAAAGUUGUGGUGAGCGGAUUGGAAUAUACUUUGCUAUGUUGGGAUAGGUACAGGUUAUUGAUGCUGAAAUAUGAAGAAUAUUAUAUAAAAUCACAACGUCAUAUAUGCAAAAUAUCCAUUGGAGAAUUUCCAAACCAAACAUACAUAACUGAAGAAGUAUGACCGCGUUUAGCCAGAAUAUCUGCUACUUAAUUAUAUUCUCGAUAAGCAUGUUGUAUCAGAACUUAAUUAAAACCUUUAAGCAUCUGCCAAAUAUAUUGAAAAUUUUAAUUUAAGGAAUUGUCGAAGAGUUAUUGUAGAAACGAAUUUUGAAAUCGGAAAAAUUUUGGUGUCACUCUCAUAUUAAAAAAUUAUUUGCCGGCGAAAAUAAAAUUUGGGUGACCGGAAAAUGUAAUUUAUCCCCAUAAAAUUACCACUAUUUGGCCAGCUAUUUACAUAAGCUACCAUUUUCAUUUCAAAGCCCUUCCCUCCUUUUUUCUGCCGUUAGUAAUCCGGAACACUGUUAAACAUCCCGAAAGAUUUCAUCCGAAAGAAAACAAAUUAGAAACUAAAACAUAUUAAAGAGGCUGUAGGUACAUAACCCUACCAAUUGGCAUCUGCUUGUUUUAUUUCUAUCAGAAAUGGAGUUUUCUUUUGAAGCAGACAUUGCAGACUGGGAGUAGCAUUGCUAAGACUGCGCUGAACAAGGUCUCUUUAAGGUUAAACGUGUUUCUGUUGGUAAGUACUUUGGUAUAAAGUGUAUUUUUGAUAGUGUUGAUCUUCACGAUAGGUAGCUCUAAGGGUUGGCUGUUUAUGUUUGCACGUGAGCUGUUCGUUAAAAUGCCUGUUUGGGAUUCCCCUUUAACUUUUUUAUAAAUGUGGUGCCUCUGUUUCCAUGUCUUUCACUUGCAUGAAGCAGUUUGGCUAUUUGCAGCAUUCUCUCUCUCUCUCUCUCUCUCUCUCUCUCUCUCUCACAAACACUGUUCAUGGGUGCAAUGCAAGUUUGUCGGUAUAUAAUUUUGCCAUAAUCUUGGGACGGCAGUCGAGAGUACAUACUAUACUUGGGUCUGGCAUGCACUAAAGUUUCUUUGUUUGUUUAUUUGUUUUGACAGUAUGUGUUCUCCAUGAAGAGUUUUGAGGUUUGUUUAUUUGUUUGCACGUUCUCGUUCCUUUCAUAAUCUUUAAUAAAAUAUUUGUAUAUUUAUAUUAUCAAAAGAACUCAUUUGAUCAAUCGAUAUAGAGCGAAGGGAGGGGGGAAAAUCUUGCGGCAAACAUCUCCUGCCUAAUUUGAAAGAGUUGAGAUAGCCCAGCUCUAUAGAGAAAAGAACAUGGAUGCAGCCAAAUCGAGCUCCCCUUUGAUGAGGGGCAAAAGAACAUAAUCUUAGGUAUAUUAUCCCAGGAAUGCACAUUUAUGAAAUUCAAUGCAGGAAUUUAGGCGGGCUAGUGUAAGUGAGUUAGAAUAACAUGGCUGUCAAUCCCUUUAGGUAUUUUAGGUAUAGUAACAAAGAACUUUUUUAUCACACAUAACCCAUCAAUUAUUUCCCGAUCAACAACGUGGCCAUGAAACUUUCGUAUCGUGCAUCAAUGUGGUAACCAAUGUCAAUUACGUUUGCCCUAGACUUCAUUUUACAUUGGACCAAUCUUAAUUAAAUGUAGACCUGAAAAAUGGUUUCAUGAUAGAAGUAUUAUUAAGCUCAAUAGGUAUACUUGUUGGACAAAUACAAAGUAACAACUAGAUAUAUUUUGAAUCAAUUCUAAAUUUCUAAUUCCUCGGAGAUAGAAGCACCUGGUUAACCAAUUUUUCCAAACCCACAAAAGAUAACCCAUUUGGACCAGUGGUGGCCUCCUUUGCCAACUUCUUCCAUUCCAAGGCUUUCCUCCUCAUCUCUUUGCCCUCCUCUCCUUCCAUUAACUUUCUCACAAGUUCCUCUACAUAAUUUCUUUUAACAUCACCCUCUAUCUCCAUGCCUAUGCCCCACUCUUUACAACAGAACCUACAAUUGGCAUGUUGCUCUGCAAAGAAGGGCCAACAGAUCAUGGGCACUCCACCACACAAACUCUCAAGGGUAGAGUUCCAACCACUAUGUGUCAAGAACCCUCCUAUGGCUGGGUGGCUCAGAACUUGUUCUUGAGGGCACCAACUUGCCAAUAGACCCCUUUCUUUGGUCUCUUGCAUAAACUCUGGUGGAACCACAGCUGCUUCCCCACCAACAAGGUCAGGCCUGAUCACCCAAAAAAAGGUCUGGUUACUGUUUGCAAGUCCCCAAGAAAACUCAAUCAGCUGCUCAGCUGUCAUGACUGUGAUGCUUCCAAAGUUGACAUAAACCACAGAGUUAGGUUCUUUAGAGUCAAGCCAUUCAAGACACUCUGGUUCUUCUGUCCACAGGUUUGAUCCAAUGGACUUUAAUUUGUUAUCUGCUGGGAUCUGAUUAAGUUGUAGAUGUAGGGGUCCAACGGAAUAAACAGGUGGUAGCAAAGUCGAAAGUCCAUGUAAAACUUCAUGAUCUAACGCAUCAAAUGUGUUCAAAAUGAUGGCAGAAGCUCUUUUAGCUCGUGCUAUCUCUACCAAUAGAUAAUCCAGCAUGAAGUCAUUUGGGUCUGUGGUUCUGAUGAAGCUUGGGAUGUCCCUCAAUCGGAUACCUCUCAUGCCUGGUAUCCAAUCUAUCUCAGUAUCCAAAUACCCAUUUGUCAAAUAGCUAGGAUCUGCAAAUCAAAUUAAGAAAUCGUACCAGUGAGUUAAGUUCUAGUUAAAUAUGUAACAUUUUUAGUACAAAGUCAGUGUUCCCAAAUGACCACUCUGGAAUUUGAAGUAUGUGUAUGUACCUUUAGGAGGCAUUAAGCCCUUUUCAAUGAGAGGGCGAUACUGUAGGUAGCACAUCAAGCCACAAGCACUUAGUGUCUCAAAAAUAACUUCCGGAAUGCCCAAUUCUUGGGCUGCAUCAAGAGUGAAGGUCAUGCCACCAUCAGAAACUAUACAAGUAACUGGAGGGGAAUCAGGCACAGAAUUGACCUUUGACAAAAGGUCUCUGAAGGGUGCUAAGCAAUUUUUACUAGUGGAAAGGCAUAGAGCAGUUAUGUCUUGGGUGGCAUUGGGAUCUGUUGGAGGGAGGCCAUCGGGAAUGGUUUCAAACUGAAAGGAUGGGAGGCCAUCAAGAGAGUUGGGACCUCGGGAUUUAAGCAGGCGUCUGUGGUUGAAUUCUGUGUGCACAAAGGUAAUGUGAAAGCCCUUGUAGUGGAGGAGUUUGGCUAAUUGAAGCAUUGGUGUUAUGUGACCUUGAGCUGGGUAUGGUAUGCAAACUGCAUGUGGCUUCUCUGUCAAAUCAAUAGAACCCAUUCUCACAAAUAAAUUUGGACAAAGCUAAUGAAAAUGGGAUAUGGUUGUGGAGAAGAGAAGCCUUUUGCAAUACCAGUUUUAUAGGAAAGAGAGAAAAGGAAUCAAUCACUUAGUAAACUUUCAAGUCCAAUAAGUCACAGUCCAUGACGAGGUUUUAUAAUGUUUUGGACGGCAGUCAAUAAUAUUCAAUUUUGUAUUCUUUCCCGUACUAUGUUUGGCAUGCAAUAAUUUAUGUUUGUGUAUUUGUUUUGAUUUGAUAAUUAUGCGUUCUAUAUUGAAGAGUUUUGGGGUUUGUUUUUGUUUUUUUACACCUUUUCUGAUCCCUAUUAGCUUUGCUAUGAAAUAUACAUUUAUAUCUGUGUUAUUAAAAAUACUCAUCUGAUCGAUCAUUAUAUCAAAAUAUAACCUCAUAGCUAUUACAUAAAUAAUACUAUAGGAAAAUCAAAUGUUAAUGUUAUAGGGCUAGAGCUACCUUAGUUGGUAUAUUUUAUGAACCAAGAAUUUAUCAUCCGCGCAUUCUGCAACACAAUUUGACAAAGUACACUCUUCAGAUUUGACAACAUACACUCUUUUCGGACAUUCAAAUAUGAGCGAUUCUAUUGUUAUGCAACAAGUCUCCGAGUAUAAACGGAAAACACCAAUCGCUGAGUCACACCGACUAGUUUCUCCUAAGAAUGCAAGGUAUGUUGUAUGUCAACAUGUUUCAAUUUUGGGUUUAACUAGGCCAAAUACAAAGCAGCAACCAGGUAGAAUUUUGAUAAAUUCUAAUUUCUGUAUCCGUGCAUGGCCUUAUGCUAAACCAAAACAUCCAAUCCACUCUCCUUUCUAUGAUCGACUUGGCACUCGUGGGACCGUUCGUUCACCCUUGAAGAAAAAGAGUAGCUGUAAUUUGGUCCAUCUGAUCUGAUAACGUCUAAGUCGUUCAUCCUUUUUCAUGUACUUGGAUUUCAUUGGAUGUAAGAUUAAAGAAAAUGUUUAGCAUGCAUGAUACAUUAUUACAAGUUCCAUCCAUACUUUGCCUGUACCGCUCAUACCAUUUAAAUUGUUGAAUUUUAAUUUCAUUUGGAAAAUGGCAGCAAAAUCUUUGAGAGCAGAUUGAGUUUUCAAGACUCAAAGACUCGCAAUAAUCACAGAAUCACAACAAUGGUGUUCAUCACAUCCCCCAACUAAGUUGAGCUUACCUAUAGAAUUACCACUAUUUUACCAACUAUUUACAUAAGCUGCUAUUUUCAUUUCAAAAAACCCUUCCCUCCUUUUUGUGCCGUUAGUAAUCCGGAACACUGUUAUCAGCUAAACAUCCCGAAAGAUUUCAUCCGAAAUAAAAGAAAUUAGAAAUUGAAACACGUUAAAGAGUCUGUAGGCUGUAGGUACGGACAACCCUACCAAUUGGCAUCAAUUUGCUUCAUUUCUAUCGGAAAUGGAGUUUUCUUGGGAAGCAGACAUUGCACACUAGGAGUACCAUUGCUAGCCUGCACUGAGUCUCUAUAAGGUUAAACACUUCUUUUUGUGUUAGUAAUUACUUUGGUGUGAAGUUUAUUUUUAUAAUGUUGAUCUUCACACUAGGUGGAUUAAGAAUUGGCUGUUUAUGUUUGCACGUGAAUCAUUCGUUAAAAUGCCUCUAUGGGAUUUGCCUUUAAUUUUUCUGAAUGCGGUACCUCUGUUUUCAUGUCUUUCACUUGCAUAAAGCUUGUUUUUUUAUAUCUUAUCUUAGGCUCUCUCUCUCUCUCUCUCUCUCUCUCUCUCUCUCUCUCUCUCCAACGCUGUUUAUGGGUGCAAUGCAGGUCUGUCACCCCCUUGUUACUCUGAUCUCUAGCUGCAAACAUCUGCUGCCUAAUUUGAAAGAGUUGAAAUAGCUCAGCUCUAUAGAGAAAAGAACACCGUUUCAUUAGUCUUGCCAAAUAAAGCUCCUCCUUUGAUGAGGGUAAAAAGAAGAUAAUCUUGGUAUAUUAACCUAAGAGUGCACAGUAUGGAAGUCCAAUGCAGGAAUUUAGGCAGAGUAGUGUAAGCUAGUUAGAAUAGCAUGGUUGUCAAGCUCUUUAGUUAUGUUAGGUUUAGCAACAAAGGGAGCUUUUAUCACACAUAAUCCAUCGAUUAUUUCCCGAUCAACAACGUGGCCAUGAAACUUUGGUAUCAUGCAUCAACGUGGUAACCGAUGCCACUUACGUUUGCCUUGGACUUCAUUUUACAUUGGACCGAUGUUAAGUAAAUGCAUACAUGAAAAAUGAAUUCGUGAUAGAAGCAGUAUUAAGCUUAAUAGGUAAACUUCUUGGACAAAUACAAAGUAAAAACAAGAUAGAUUUUGAAUCAAUUCUAAAUUUCUAAUUCCUCGUUGAUAGAAGCAUCUGGUUAACCAGUUUGUCCAAACCCACAAAAGAAAACCCAUUUGGACCAGUGGUGGCCUCCUUUGCCAACUUCUUCCAUUCCAAGGCUUUCUUCCUCAUCUCUUUGCCCUCCUCCCCCGCCAUUAACUUUCUCACAAGCCCCUCUACGUAAUUUCUUUUAACAUCACCCUCUAUCUCCAUGCCUAUGCCCCACUCUCUGCAACAGAACCUACAAUUGGUUUGUUGCUCUGCAAAGAAGGGCCAACAGAUCAUGGGCACUCCACCACACAAACUCUCAAGAGUAGAGUUCCAACCACUGUGUGUCAAGAACCCUCCUACGGCUGCGUGGCUCAGAACUUGUUCUUGAGGGCACCAACUUGCCAAUAGACCCCUUUCUUUGGUCUCUUCCAUAAACUCUGGUGGAACCACAGCUGCUUCCCCACCGACAAGGUCAGGCCUGACCACCCAAAAAAAGGUCUGGUUGCUGUUUGCAAGUCCCCAAGCGAACUCAAUCAGCUGCUCAGCUGUCAUGACUGUGAUGCUUCCAAAGUUGACAUAAACCACAGAGUUAGGUUCUUUAGAGUCAAGCCAAUCAAGACACACUGGUUCUUCUGUCCACAGGUUUGAUCCAAUGGACUUCAACUCGUUAUCUGCUGGGAUAUGAUUAAGCUGUAGAUGUAGGGGUCCAACGGAAUAAACAGGUGGUAGCAAAGUCGAUAGUCCAUCUAAAACUUCAUGCUCUAACGCAUCAAACGUGUUCAAAAUUAUGGCAGAAGCUCUUUUAGCUCUUGCAAUCUCAACCAAUAUAAAAUCCAGCAUGAAGUCAUUUGGGUCUGUGAUUCUGAUGAAGCUUGGGAUGUCCCUCAAUCGGAUACCUCUCAUGCCUGGUAUCCAAUCUAUCUCAGUAUCCAAAUACCCAUUUGUCAAAUAGCUAGCAUCUGCAAAUCAAAUUGAGUAAUAGUACCGGUGAGUUAACAUUCUAGUUAAAUAUGUAACAUUUUGAGUACAAAGUCGGUGUUCCCAAAUGACCAAUCAGGAAUUUGAAGUCAGUGUAUGUACCUCUAAGAGGUAUUAAGCCCUUUUCGAUGAGAGGGCGACACUGAAGGUAGCACAUGAAGCCACAAGCACUUAGUGUCUGGAGAAUAACUUCCGGAAUGCCCAAUUCUUGGGCUGCAUCAAGAGUGAAGGUCAUGCCACCAUCAGAAACUAUACAAGUAACUGGAGGGGAAUCGGGCAAAGAAUUGAGUUUUGACAAAAGGUCUCUGAAGGGUGCUAAGCAAUUUUUACUAGUGGAAACGCAUAGAGCGGUUACGUCCUGGGUGGCAUUGAUAUCUGUUGGAGGGAGGCCAUCGGGAAUGGUUUCGAACCUAAAGGAUGGGAGGCCAUCAAGAGAGUUGGGACCUCGGGAUUUAAGAAGGCGUCUAUGGUUGAAUUCGGUGUUCACAAAGGUUAUGUGAAAGCCCUUGUAGUGGAGGAGUUUGGUUAAUUGCAGCAUUGGGGUUAUGUGACCUUGAGCUGGGUAUGGUAUGCAAACUGCAUGUGGCUUCUUUGUCAAACCAAUAGAACUCAUUCUGGCAAAUAAAUUUGGACAAAGCUAACGAAAAUGGGAUAUGGUUGUGGAGAAGAUAAGGCUUUUGCAGUAUCAGUUUUAUAGGAAAGAGAGAAAAGGGAUCAAUCACUUAAUAAACUUUAAAGUCCAAAAGGCACUUUUCAUGACAAAGUCGAUUUGUCCUUAUAAUUCAAGUUGACUCUGUAAUGUGUGAUAAUCCUUGGAACGGCAGUCAAUACUAGAUAAGAUUCUGUUCGGCGUGCAAUAAUUUAUGUUUGUUUUUUAUUUGAUUUGAUAAUUAUGUGUUCCAUUUAAACAGUUUUGAGGUUUGUUUAAAAUCACGUGGCUCUGUACUAUUGGUUGUGUGGGUUCUAUACAUGUGCCACAUCAGCAAUUUAUCAAAAAAUUGGUCGGAAGCUAACGGCAGGGACUAUUUUGAUGUAUGGAUGCUAACCUUAAGAACCAUUACUAUCAUAAAAAAAAUGUUAGAGACGAAAUGUGAUAAUUUCGUAAACCUUGACACCAUCUGUGAUAUAAUAAAAACAACCUUAUAUCUAUAUUAUUAAAAAUACUCAUCUGAUCAAUCAUUCACGAUGCAGAACCAUUACAACAAAAUACACUCUUUUCAAAUUUGACUUAUCGACGUCUACAAAACAUAAAACACUGAGUGGCAUUGAAUGGUUUCUCCAAAGAAUGCAUGAUAUGUUGCACAAAUAGUUGUGUCCCGUUUGGGUUUAACUAGGCCAAAUACAAAGCAGCAAGCAACUAGGUAGAAUAUUGAUCAAUUCUAAUUUCUUGGAGAUAGAAGCACCUGGUUAAUCAUUUUGUCCAAAGCCACAAAUGAUGAGCCAUUAGGGCUGGUGGCCUCCAUUGCCAACUUCUUCCAUUCCAGAGCUUUCUUCCUCAUAUCUUUGCCCUCCUCUCCCUCCAUUAACUUUCUCACAAGCCCCUCUACGUAGUUUCUUUUAACAUCAUUCUCAAUCUCCAUGCCAAUGCCCCACUCUUUCUCACUGUACCUACAAUUGGUUUGUUGCUCUGCGAAGAAGGGCCAACAGAUCAUGGGCACUCCAGCACACACACUUUCAAUAGUAGAGUUCCAACCACUGUGAGUCAAGAACCCUCCUACAGCCGGAUGGCUCAGGACUUGUUCUUGAGGGCACCAAUGUGCCAAUAGGCUCCUUUCUUUGGUCUCUUCCACAAACUCUGGUGGAACCACAGCUGAAUCCCCACCAACAAGAUCAGGCCGAAUCACCCAAAAGAAGGUCUGAUUGCUGUUUGCAAGUCCCCAAGCAAACUCAAUUAGCUGCUCUGCUGUCAUCACUGUGAUGCUUCCGAAGUUGACAUAAACCACAGAGUUAGGUUCUUUAGAGUCAAGCCAUUCUAGACACUCUGGUUCCUCUGUCCAUAGGUUCGAUCUUAUCUCCUUCAACUCGCUAUCUGCCGGGAUCUGGUUAAUCUGUAAAUGUAGGGGUCCAAUGGAGUAAAUAGGUGGUAGCAAAGUUGAAAGUGCAUCUAAAGCUUCAUGUUCCAAGUCAUGGAAGGUGUUCAAGACGACAGCAGAAGCUUUUCGAGUUCGCUCUGUUUCAUGCACCAGAAAAUCCAGCAUGAGAUCAUCUCGGUCUGUGGUUCUAAUGAAGCUGGGGAUGUCCUUUAGUCGGAUGCCUCUCAUGCCUGGUAUCCAAUCUAUCUGCGUCUCCAAAUAGCCGUUGGUCAAAUAACUAGCAUCUGUGAAUCAAACAAAGAAAUAGUGCGUUAUUAUUCUAUUAAGCAACAUGGUUAGGUUAAGAUAUUCAUAUACAAAACUAAAAAUAAAAUAUAAAUCAGUCAAGAUAUGUUCAUGAAAAAGUCAGAGGAGUGAGAUUAAUACCUUUGAGAGGAGUGAGACCAUUUUCAAUGAGGCGGUGGUAGUGUACAUAGGCCAAGAAGCCGCAAGCACUUGUUGUCCAGAAAAGCACUUCUGGGAUGCCGAGUUCGUGGGCUGCAUCAAGAGUGAAGCUCAUGACACCAUCAGAAACUAUACAACUUACAGGAGGGCAACCAGUCGAAGAGUUCAGCUUAGACAAAAGGUCUCUGAAGUAAGGCAAGCUGUGUUUCCUAGUGGAUUCACAUAAGGAUGGUAUGUCUUGGGUGGCAUUGGCAUCAGUCAGUGGCAGGCCGUCGGGAAUGGUCUCGAAUCGAAAGGAGGG
rnacentral:lncRNA from 1 species